rnacentral:rRNA from 1 species
CCUACGGGUGGCAGCAGUGAGGAAUAUUGGUCAAUGGACGAGAGUCUGAACCAGCCAAGUAGCGUGAAGGAUGAAUGCCCUAUGAGUUGUAAACUUCUUUUAUAUGGUAGUCCAACAGGGUAUGCAUACCCUCUUGUAUUUACCAUAUGAAUCAGGAUCGGCUAGCUCCGUUCCCGCAGCCGCGGUAAUACGGAGGAUCCGAGCGUUAUCCUAAUUUAUUGGGUUUAAAGGGAGCGUAGGUGGGUUGUUAAGUCAGUUGUGAAAGUUUGCGGCUCAACCGUAAAAUUGCAGUUGAAACUGGCAGUCUUGAGUACAGUAGAGGUGGGCGGAAUUCGUGGUGUAGCGGUGAAAUGCUUAGAUAUCACGAAGAACUCCGAUUGCGAAGGCAGCUCACUGGACUGCAACUGACACUGAUGCUCGAAAGCGUGGGUAUCAAACAGGAUUAGAUACCCUAGUAGUC